UACGGAGGGUGCAAGCGUUAUCCGGAUUCACUGGGUUUAAAGGGUGCGUAGGCGGCUAUGAAAGUCAGUGGUGAAAGCCCGCAGCUUAACUGCGGAACUGCCAUUGAAACUUCAUAGCUGGAGUAUUAUUGAAGUGGGCGGAAUACAUCAUGUAGCGGUGAAAUGCUUAGAUAUGAUGUAGAACUCCGAUUGCGAAGGCAGCUCACUAAAUAAUAACUGACGCUGAGGCACGAAAGCGUGGGUAGCAAACAGG
rnacentral:rRNA from 1 species